GACAGAGGGUGCAAACGUUGCUCGGAAUUACUGGGCGUAAAGCGCGUGUAGGUGGCUUCGCGAGUCCGAUGUGAAAGCCCAGGGCUCAACCCUGGAAGUGCAUUGGAUACUACGGAGCUGGAGGCCUGGAGAGGUAAGCGGAAUUCCCGGUGUAGAGGUGAAAUUCGUAGAUAUCGGGAGGAACACCAGUGGCGAAGGCGGCUUACUGGACAGGUCCUGACACUGAGACGCGAAAGCGUGGGUAGCAAACAGG
rnacentral:rRNA from 1 species